rnacentral:rRNA from 1 species
UACGGAGGGAGCUAGCGUUGUUCGGAAUUACUGGGCGUAAAGCGCGCGUAGGCGGCUUUGUAAGUUAGAGGUGAAAGCCCGGAGCUCAACUCCGGAACUGCCUUUAAAACUGCAUCGCUUGAAUCCAGGAGAGGUGAGUGGAAUUCCGAGUGUAGAGGUGAAAUGUGUAGAGAUCGGGAGGAACGACCGGUGGCGAAGGCGGGUCUCUGGGCCGAUACUGACGCUGAGGAGCGAAAGCGUGGGGAGCAAACAGG